UACGUAGGGUGCGAGCGUUAAUCGGAAUUACUGGGCGUAAAGCGUGCGCAGGCGGUUCGCUGUGUCCGAUGUGAAAGCCCCGGGCUUAACCUGGGAAUGGCAUUGGAAACUGGCGGGCUAGAGUUCGGUAGGGGAGAUCGGAAUUCCUGGUGUAGCGGUGAAAUGCGCAGAUAUCAGGAGGAACACCGGUGGCGAAGGCGGAUCUCUGGGACGGUACUGACGCUGAGACGCGAAAGCGUGGGGGAGCGAACAGG
rnacentral:rRNA from 1 species